ACCAGCAGACGAGUUCCAAAUAGGGUGAAACGUACGUUCUGGAU
rnacentral:hammerhead_ribozyme from 1 species